GGUCAGGCAUGGUGGAGGUAGUGGGAUGGUUUGGGGUCAGGCAUGGUGGUGGUAGUGGGAUGGUUUGGGGUCAGGAAUGGUGGAGGUAGUGGGAUGGUUUGGGGUCAGCAUGGUGGUGGUAGUGGGAUGGUUUCGGGUCAGGAAUGGUGGAGGUAGUGGGAUGGUUUGGGGUCAGCAUGCUGGUGGUAGUGGGAUGGUUUGGGGUCAGAAAUGGUGGAGGUAGUGGGAUGGUUUGGGGUCAGCAUGGUGGUGGUAGUGGGAUGGUUUGGGGUCAGCAUGGUGGAGGUAGUGGGAUGGUUUGGGGUCAGGCAUGGUGGUGGUAGUGGGAUGGUUUGGGGUCAGGCAUGGUGGUGGUAGUGGGAUGGUUUGGGGUCAGCAUGGUGGUGGUACUGGCAUGGUUUGGGGUCCGGCAUGGUGGAGGUAGUGGGAUGGUUUGGGGUCAGCAUGGUAGUGGGAUGGUUUGGGGUCAGCAUGGUGGUGGUAGUGGGAUGGUUUGGGGUCAGGCAUGGUGGUGGUAGUGGGAUGGUUUGGGGUCAGGCAUGGUGGUGGUAGUGGGAUGGUUUGGGGUCAGCAUGGUGGUGGUAGUGGGAUGGUUUGGGGUCAGCAUGGUAGUGGGAUGGUUUGGGGUCAGCAUGGUGGUGGUAGUGGGAUGGUUUGGGGUCAGGCAUGGUGGUGGUAGUGGGAUGGUUUGGGGUCAGCAUGGUGGUGGUAGUGGGAUGGAUUGGGGUCAGCAUGGUAGUGGGAUUGUUUGGCGUCAGGCAUGGUGGUGGUAGUGGGAUGGUUUGGGGUCAGCAUGGUGGUGGUACUGGCAUGGUUUGGGGUCAGGCAUGGUGGUGGUGGUGGGAUUGUUUGGCGUCAGGCAUGGUGGAGGUACUGGCAUGGUUUGGGGUCAGCAUGGUGGUGGGAUGGUUUGGGGUCAGGCAUGGUGGUGGUAGUGGGAUGGUUUGGGGUCAGGCAUGGUGGAGGUAGUGGGAUGGUUUGUGGUGAGCAUGGUAGUGGGAUGGUUUGGGGUCAGCAUGGUGGAGGUAGUGGGAUGGUUUGAGGUCAGCAUGGUGGUGGUAGUGGGAUGGUUUGGGGUCAGCAUGGUGGUGGUAGUGGGGUGGUUUGAGGUCAGCAUGGUAGUGGGAUGGUUUGAGGUCAGCAUGGUGGUGGUAGUGGGGUGGUUUGAGGUCAGCAUGGUGGUGGGAUGGUUUGGGGUCAGCAUGGUAGUGGGACGGUUUGGGGUCAGCAUGGUAGUGGGACGGUUUGGGGUCAGCAUGGUAGUGGGAUGGUUUGGGGAUGCUUGCCUUAAUAGAAGGAACUCUCUCUCUCUCCAUCCUUCUGUCUCCAUUCCUCCCUCCUAUUUCUCCAUCUCCGUAUCUCUCCCUUCCUCUCUCCCUCCAUCUCCUGAGAGAGAAGCAUUAGCCUCCGGUCAAAGAAGAGAAGAUCAAACGAUGUUGUUUGUAUGUUGUGGCAUCCCCG
ensembl:lncRNA